rnacentral:lncRNA from 1 species
GGGGGUGCUGAUGAGGGUUGGCGAAAAGAUUAAGCCUCCAUUUGGCAAAUAUAAAUGGUUUAUAAAUAAGAACAAUAAGAAGAAUAGUGGUGAAUCCUUUGUGUGGAUAAUAAAGAAUAGUAGUUAUAAAAACGUAGUUGAAAUUAAUGUUUGAUUAACUGAAUUUUUUUACAGGGUUUAUAAUUUGGUAUCCAUACGGAGGCUAAGAAUUUUCUUUUUUAUGCAUUUUUUUUUCCUCUUUUAAUUUUUGUAUCUGUAAAAGCUCAGUCUGAAAGCACGACCAGUCUAAUAACAUGCAUUCUUGUCCAACUGGAUGAUAUAAACAACGCACUAGCUGAUUUUUUUUAAGCCACAUUAGCAUUGACGGAGUGUCUGUGCAAAAACAAAAAUGAAAUUUCAGCUACUAAUUCGGAAUUGAAAUGGAUUUCGAUGAUCAAAAUGAAACAAUGCUAUAACUUUAAGUGAUAUCUGUGUUUUUAAACCUGUGUUUGGAUAGGCCAUUUCUUAUUACUUUACAACUUGGUUUCUCUCGCUUCCCAGGUACAUACAGAGUACCUGUGCUACAUCUGGGGAAGGCCUUUACGAGGGGCUCGAUUGGCUCUCCAAUAAUAUCGCUAACAAGGCAAGUGUACAAUCAUACAUUACUUUUACAGAAAAUCGUUCUCGAAUAUGCCUCCCAACNNNNNNNNNNNUUUUGAUUUCUUAUCCCCUCAUUCUGACAUUUCUCCCAUGUUACAUUUACAGGCAUAAAGUUAUAUGAAGUUUUUGUGAGUCGAUGCUUAUUAGUCCCGGCAGCCGGGUUCUUAUCUAGCCUUAUACAUUUAGUCUGUGUGUUUAUGGAUAUUCAUUUUCAAGUCGUCUUGUUUUGUUCACGACAGCUUUAACCAAUGUAUAUCACAAUGAUGGUUUGUUUUAUGCAUUUGCAAAUAUUUUUCUAGUAUUAACAUAUUAUAUUGACCUGCAUUUUAAAACUAAAUGGAUAUUACCUGUUAUAGGCCUAGGCCGGUCUGAGGGCAAGUUUGGCAUUGCUUUUACUUUUACUUUUGUUUUUGCUGUUUCCAAAAGAAAAACUUUUGGAACUUUGAGAGUGUAGCAAGUUAAGAUUCGG